rnacentral:lncRNA from 1 species
CCCACUCCCACCAAUCAGGAGUCAUCCGGGGGAAGGCGGUGGGACGCGGCACCUGGAAGCUGCCAGCCGAUUCCGUGACGCCACCCGCGGUGCAGGGCGAGCCGAGGAGCCGAGGGCGGUGGAAAAACACUACAUCUGUAAACAGUGUCCAUAUUGGAAAAAUGGAGAGUCCAGCCUUGGUAGAGAUGCUGCUUUCUGGAUGAUGGCCCUGGCUCCGGGUUUCACAGGAGGCAGAUGAGGCACUGCAGCUUUGGGUAGAGAGCACAGAACCAAAUGCUCAAGGACAGGACCAUCAUCCAGUCAUGCAGAGAGGAACCUGGAGGUUUUCCCAGCUGCUGGGAACUGAGAAGACUAUUAACGUGCCCAGAGCGAAUGAUGAAACACAAAGUGUGUAUAAGGAACCGGGUAAAAGCGAAGGUGGAUAAUGGUCUCUGGAGAAGAUCUUCCGGAAGGCUUAUGUUGCAGCUAGACUCCAUCAUCAGGAAAAAGUGGGUGAAGUGUUUUCCAAGGAAGAAAACGGCAACCUGCUUCACAGCGCUUAGUGUGUGCAGAGGUCACUCGGGUUUGCUAGCUGUGCACACCCCGUUGAUGGCUCUCAAUGGCAGUCAGAUAAUCUGCCAGUACAGAUGUAGAGAUGUGGAGUUGGCACACCAAAG